AUCAGGAACAAGGAAGAAGUGAGACAGAGAAGCACGAUGGAUGAAUUCAGAUGGAUUCAAAUGUUUUUAUGUCUGAUGCUGAUGAUUCCGAUUGCAGUAUCUGUAAGUGAAAGAUCCAUUUUUAUGAAACUUGGAGAUGACGUCACUCUGCCUUGUCUAAAUGUGAUAGAUGACCAGAAUAACUGUGAUGGUACUACGUGGAUCUUUACUUCAAGAAACAAACCAUCAGUAGAGCUGAUCAGACUUGGACAGAUUGGUGAAGAAGCCAAAAAUCAAUCAGACAGACUGAGUGUUACAGCGAACUGUUCUCUGGAUAUAAAGAAGCUCACAGUUGAGGAUGUUGGUCGUUAUUACUGUGUACAAUACAAAGUAAGACAAACUCCACACACUCUGGUUCAUCAGUCUCUGGUUCAUCUUUCUGUUAUUUCCUUGACUGAACACAAAGAUGCUGAAACGGUAACAUUAAACUGCUCUGUGCUGACAUCUGAAAAGUGUCAUCACACAGUGAAGUGGAUGAUUAAAUGUCGACAUUUGGACAAAGAUAACAAUCAAAUGGUGACCUCACAGACUGACUGCUCCACCACUGUGACUUUUCUGGAAUCUCACUAUUUAUACUCAUCAAGGUGUAACACAGUGAAGUGUGAAGUGACUGAAACUGACACAGGAUGAGUGCAGCUGUUUACUUUCAGCCCUCAGCCCUCAGGUCAAGAAACAGGUGAGAUCAUCAUCAAGUGUUUAAAAUGAAGAAACCAAGCAGAUAAACUGAAAGUAGCAGAAAAUCAGAAACAACCACAAUGACAAUGAAGGAUGUAAAAUGUAUCCUUACGUCACGUAUUAGUAAUACUUUUUUAUUAAGACUUUUUAGUGGCACUAAAUGAUU